rnacentral:rRNA from 1 species
GACGAAGGGGGCUAGCGUUGUUCGGAAUUACUGGGCGUAAAGCGUGCGUAGACGGUUAUUUAAGUCGGAUGUGAAAGCCCCGGGCUCAACCUGGGAAUUGCAUUCGAGACUGAAUAGCUAGGGUGCGGUAGAGGGAAGCGGAAUUUCCGGUGUAGCGGUGAAAUGCGUAGAUAUCGGAAGGAACAUCAGUGGCGAAAGCGGCUUCCUGGACCAGCACCGACGUCAGGCACGAAAGCGUGGGGAGCAAACAGG